UGGGGAAUAUUGCGCAAUGGGCGAAAGCCUGACGCAGCGACGCCGCGUGGAGGAUGAAGGUCUUAGGAUUGUAAACUCCUGUCAGAUGGGAAGAAAAUAUCAUAUUUAAUAGAUAUGAGGAAUGACGGUACCAUCAGAGGAAGCACCGGCUAACUUCGUGCCAGCAGCCGCGGUAAUACGAAGGGUGCAAACGUUAUUCGGAAUCACUGGGCGUAAAGGGUGCGUAGACGGCAUGUUAAGUUCGUCGUUAAAGGCUCCGGCCUAACCGGAGUACCGCAAUGAAAACUGGCGUACUAGAGGGUGAGAGAGAGAAGUGGAAUUCCUGGAGUAGCGGUAAAAUGCGUGGAUCUCAGGAGGAACACCAAUGGCGAAGGCAGCUUCUUGGCUCAUUCCUGACGUUGAGGCACGAAAGCGUGGGGAGCAAACAGGAUUAGAUACCCGCGUAGUCC
rnacentral:rRNA from 1 species